rnacentral:tRNA from 1 species
CCAAAGCUGAAAUUCUUUUUAAACUAUUCCCUG